CCGGGUACCCCUGCCCCGGAGUUCCCCAGAAAAGCGCUCCCUGAAUACAAGCAACAGGAAAGGAAAGGUUUCAUUGCUUUUAGCAUCACUAUUGAUGACGAUUUUUUUGCUGUUAUGCCCCAUUCUAGAAGUGUUCAAGGCCGGGCUGGAUGGGGGCUGGAGCAACCUGGUCUAGUGGAAGGUGCCCCUGUUCAAGGCAGUGGGGCUGGAACGAGAUGACCUUUAAGGUCCCAUCCAGCCCAAACCAUUCUAUGAUUCUAUAAUGCAGCCUUAGCCUGACCCUGGUGGCAUCACAAUUGUAGAGUUGUCCCCAGCUGCAAGGAAAGUCACCUAUUUGAAGACAUAUCACUUCAGUCUGCCUCUGUGGAUUUUUAGUUUUGUUGUCAAUAUUUACAAAGCACUUCAUUUAACUAAUUACCUCUGGACUACAUCAGUCAGUAGUAGAGAUGCACAACUUGGGCUAAGAGGCCAGUUAAACUCAUAAGGGUCUGACAAUGAGACCUCGUAGCAUCUUGUCACUGAGAGAGAGCUUCCUGACUGCCCAGGGAUACAGGACACGGCUAAGGAGAAGGCAUCUGCCCUCUCUUAGUGCCAUGGCUCCCAGCUGCUGCCCAAAAAGCUCACCACAUAGUGUAUGAUGCCUGUGACAUAUUCUGGAGCUGGAUGACAAUAAUAAUUUCCUUAUUUUUCUUAACAGAAAAGCACAAAGCAUUUUCAAAGGAUCUUGGUAUUGUAAAUCAUGUUUCAUUUUGGCUUCUUAUGAAAAAAAAAAAAAAAAGGCAAAAUGAGUCACUGCAGAACAAACACCACCAGGAAGCCUGCAGAAAGCAGCUCCAGCCUUGCUGGGAGUCAGACAGUUGUACUGGUUCCUGCUGUUCUUUCCUGCAAGAGCAGCCUCAGGCUGGUCUCCUCUUACAGGGCACUACAGGUCUGGCCACUGGAAUACAGCAAGACCUACACAAUGGAUCCCAAAACAGGAGAGAAAAUCCCACUGCUACAGCUGAAGAUACAGCCUGUACCCUGAAUGCUGAGAGGAGACUCCUGCACGGUCCAUUUGUGAACAUGUGCAUCACUGCAGGCCCCUUUCUUUUCAUGUGGCCUGACAUGAUCUUAUCCCCCCUUUAGAAAAGAAAGACCCUGGAGAAACCUGUCAGGUCUCUCAAUGUCCAAGCUGCUGCUUUAUUGUCUGACCCAACAGCCCUCCAGUGUGCAGUGUGUCCCCUACGUGGCACACAGUGUGGUGCCAUUGACAGCUCCCUUUCCCUACCUCUAGCCAUCCCUCUAGCAGCAUAUUCAGCUGCCUUUUUGCAAGCCCUGCCCUAAAGGCACCACAGCUGCCAACACACACAAAACACUCUCAGAGUCACCCCUCAAUGAUCCAUACAUUUGUGGUUGCUAGGAUUAAUAUCCCAUGGCAAGACUCUGAUCAGCUGGAACUGGAGCAGAAUCAUACCUCACAGAGAAAGGUCAUGCUGCAAACCACACAGACUCUUCCUGUAAUUGGCUGUAAAUAGUCUACAACUCUUCUCUUUGUGCAGCUUUAUCCAAAAAUAAAAUCCCUUUAGGCUGUGGUA